UACGUAGGGUGCGAGCGUUAAUCGGAGUUACUGGGCGUAAAGGGCGCGCAGGCGGUCUUGAAAGUCAGGCGUGAAAGCCCCGGGCUUAACCUGGGAAUUGCGCUUGAUACUCUGAGACUGGAGUACGGGAGAGGAGAGUGGAAUUCCCAGUGUAGAGGUGAAAUUCGUAGAUAUUGGGAAGAACACCAGUGGCGAAGGCGGCUCUCUGGACCGUAACUGACGCUGAGGCGCGAAAGCGUGGGGAGCAAACAGG
rnacentral:rRNA from 1 species